AACGAACGCUGGCGGCAGGCUUAACACAUGCAAGUCGAACGGACCCUUCGGGGUUAGUGGCGGACGGGUGAGUAACACGUGGGAACGUGCCUUUAGGUUCGGAAUAGCUCCUGGAAACGGGUGGUAAUGCCGAAUGUGCCCUUCGGGGGAAAGAUUUAUCGCCUUUAGAGCGGCCCGCGUCUGAUUAGCUAGUUGGUGAG
rnacentral:rRNA from 1 species